AUAGGUACUAGCUAAAACACUCAGAACAUGUUAGCAACAUUAGAAACUAGCUAAAACAUUCAUAACACAAUAGCAACACACUAGAGACUAGGUAAAACACUCUGAAAACAUGUUCUGAGACUAGCUAAAACACCCUGAACACUCAAGCAUCACUUUAGGAUCUAGCUAAAAACACUCAGAACACUAGCAACACUCUAGAGACUAGCUAAAACACUGAACACUCUUGCAACACUCUAGAAACUAGCUAUAAAAACUCUGAAUACACUAGCAACACUCUAGAAACUAACUGAAAACACUGAACACUCUAGCAGCACUAUAGGGGCACUAACUAAAAACACUCAGAUCACUAGCAACACUCUAGAAACUAGCUACAACUCUCAGAACACUCUAGCAACACUAUGAAUUAGCUAAAACACUAUAAACACUCUAGCAACACUACAGGCACUAGCUAAAAACACUCAAAACAUGCUAGCAACACUCUAGAAAUUAGCUGAACACUCUAGCAACAUUCUAGAGACUAGCUAAAACACUGAACACUCUAGCAACACUAUAGGCACUAGCUUAAAACACUCUGAACAUGUUUAGCAACACUCUAGAAACUAGCUAAAAACACUCAAAACACUCUAUCAACACUCUAGAGACUAGCUAAAACACUUUGAACACUCUAGCAACACUCUAGAGACUAGCUAAAACACUCUGAACACUCUAGGGACACUAGAGACUAGCUAAAACACUCUUAAUAUUAGCAAGACUAGCUGAAACACUCUGAACACUCUAGCAACACUCUAGAGACUAGCUAAAACACUCUGAACACUCUAGCUAGAGACUAGCUAAAACACUCUAGCAACACUCUAGAGACUAACUUAAACACUCUGAACACUCUAGCAACUCUAUAGAAACUAGCUAGCUAAAACGCUCUGAACACUCUUGCAACACUCUAGAAACUAACUAAAACACUCUGAACACUCUAGCAACACCAUAGGCACUAAAUAAAAACACUCAGAACACUAACAACACUCUAGAAACUAUCUAAAACUCUCAGAAAACUCUAGCAACACUAUAGGCACUAGCUAAAACACUCUGAACACUCUUGCAAAACUCUAGAAACUAACUAAAAACACUCUGAACACUCCAGCAACACCAUAGGCACUAAAUAAAAACACUCAGAACACUAACAACACUCUAGAAACUAGCUAAAACUCUCGGAAAACUCUAACAACACUAUAGGCACUAGCUAAAGCACUCUGAACACUCUUGCAAAACUCUAGAAACUAGCUAAAACACUCUGAACACUCUAGAGACUAGCUAAAACACUCUGAACACUCUAGCUAGAGACUAGCUAAAACACUCUGAACACUCUAGCUAGAGACUAGCUAAAACACUCUGAACACUAGCAACACUCUAGAGACUAGCUCAAACACUCUGAACACUAGCAACACUCUAGAGACUAUCUUGAACACUCUAGCAACACUAUAGGCACUAGCUUAAACACUCAGAACACGAUAGCAACAUUAGAAACUAUCUAAAACAUUCAGAACACACUAGAAACACACUAGAGACUAGCUAAAACACUGAAAACUCUAGCAACACUCUAGAGACUAGCUAAAACACUAUAAACACUCAAGCAACACUACAGGCACUAGCUAAAAACACUCAAAACAUGCUAGCAACACUCUAGAAACUAGCUAAACACUCAGAACACUCUAGCAACAUUCUAGAGACUAGCUAAAACACUCUGAACACUCUAGCAACACUAUAGGCACUAGCUUAAAACACUCUGAACAUGUUUAGCAACACUCUAGAAACUAGCUAAAAACACUCAGAACACUCUAUCAACACUUUAGAUACUAGCUAAAACACUUUGAACACUCUAGCAACACUCUAGAGACUAGCUAAAACACUCUGAAAACUCUAGGGACACUAGAGACUAGCUAAAACACUCUUAACAUUAGCAAGACUAGCUGAAACACUCUGAACACUCUAGCAACACUCUAGAGACUAGCUAAACACUCUGAACACUCUAGCUAGAGACUAGCUAAAACACUCUAGCAACACUCUAGAGACUAACUUAAACACUCUGAACACUCUAGCAACUCUCUAGAAACUAGCUAAAAUGCUCUGAACACUCUCGCAACACUCUAGAAACUAACUAAAACACUCUGAACACUCUAGCAACACCAUAGGCACUAAAUAAAAACACUCAGAACACUAACAACACUCUAGAAACUAUCUAAAACUCUCAGAAAACUCUAGCAACACUAUAGGCACUAGCUAAAACACUCUGAACACUCUUGCAACACUCUAGAAACUAACUAAAAACACUCUGAACACUCCAGCAACACUAUAGGCACUAAAUAAAAACACUCAGAACACUAGCAACACUCUAGAAACUAGCUAAAACUCUCAGAAAACUCUAGCAACACUAUAGGCACUAGCUAAAACACUCUGAACACUCUUGCAAAACUCUAGAAACUAACUGAAAACACUCUGAACACUCUAGCAACACUAUAGGCACUAGCUAUAAACUCUGAAUAUGCUAUCAACACUCUAAAAACUAGCUAAAACACUCUGAACACUAGCAACAGUCUAGAGCAGGGAUAGGCAACUUCGGUCCUGGAGGGUCACUGUCCUGCAAAGUUUAGCUCCAACCCUAAUUAAACAUACCUGAACAGAACACUGAACAAUCAGUGUUUUCGGGAUUACUAGACAGAUACAGGCAGGUGAGCUUUUAUGAGGGCUGUAGCUAAACUCUGCAGGAUAGUGGCACUCCAGGACCGGAAUUGCCUAUCCCUGGUCUAGAGACUACCUAAAACACUCUGAACACUCUAGCAACACUUUAGGAACUAGCUAAAUCACUCAGAACACUAGCAACACUCUAGAGACUAAAUAAAACACUCUGAACACUCUAGCAACACUCUAGAAACUAGCUUAAAAGACUGAACAUGCUAGCAACACUCUAGAGACUAUCUAAAAACAAUCAGAACAACUAAGCAACUGUAUAGCCAUGCUUGACAACUGCCAAAAACUUCUUCGUAACUUUAUCACAACCCCCUUAAAAACAAUAGCAAAAAAAGAAAAAAAAAACUCAUGGGGUUUUUCAUUUACAGCUACAUAACUCGCUGAUUAACUACCAUAAUAAGAUGCAUCAUUGUGGAAACUAACUAGCUAGCUUCCCGAACAUGGUCACAUCUCUGCUGUUUGAACUACAUUGGUUAAUCAUUAUAGGGCCGUUGUUACAGUUUUUCCCCAUUGCUUAAACCCUAUAGACCCAUGCUUAGACUAAAGUAACACAACUUGAAGCUUUUGUUACCAUACCUCAAACACAUGUACCCAUACCUUACAAAAAAGCACUGCUUUGCACUCUAGUUGCAAUUCUGCAACACACCUACUCCUUUAAGCAACACACCUUGGUCCUGCAUACUACACUCUAUUUCAUACAUAAGACACUUCAUUCAAAAAUGAAAUCUCAGAAUGCCUUUUGGAAAACACAUGUAUCCAAAAUACAAUACAAAAAGCCCCCAGUUUAGCCAUUUCAAGAACGUUCCAAGCAUGGAUAGAGGAAGAGGAAGAUGAAGAUGAAGAGGAGGGGGAGACAAGGUCAAGGUCGAAGAGGCCAUGCACGGACCCCUUUUUCUGAUGAUAUAAGAGCAACUUUGGUAGACCAUGUCAUCAACCAUGGCCUGACUAUGAGGGAAGCUGGGAAGAGAGUCCGCCCACAUCUAAGCCGCUUCACAGUGGCAUCUGUAAGAAGAACAUUCCAACUAGAAAACGGAAUGACUUGAAAACCUCCUGGGGGAGGACGCCAAGGCCUGUUCACACAACAGCAGGAACUUGCAUUGUGGACCUAGUAAGGGCAGAAAAUGCCAUCCAUCUUCACCAGCUAUGACAGAAAAUACUUGCAGACAGGCAAGUGUUCAACAACAUCAACCAUGUGAGCAUCACCACCAUCAGACGCAUCUUGGGAAAACACAACAUCACCAUGAAGCAGCUCUACAGGGUCCCAUUUGAGAGGAACUGCGUCAGGGUCAUAGGAAUUAGAGCUGAAGAUAGAAUCUUGGCCAUGGAUGGAGCUGCACAGCCUCAUGAAUUCAUUUUCAUUGAUUAAGCUGGAUUCGACCUGAGCAAAACAAGACGACGGGGUCGUAAUGUAAUUGGCCAAAGGACAAUUGUGCACAUCCCGGGGCAGCGCGGGGGAAAUGUCACACUGUGUGCUGCCAUAAGCCUUGGAAGGCUUCUGCAUCAUGCAAAACUAGGUACAUACAAUAGCCAACAAAUACUCACAUUUCUAGAUGCCCUCCAUAAUAUAGUUGUACAGAACAGACCAGAUCAGCCCAGGUUUGUGGUGGUAUGGGUUAAUGUCAGUUUCCAUCGGGCUGCUCUGGUCCAGGCCUGGUCCACCAACCACCAUCAAUUUGAAGUGGUAUACUUGCACCCUUACUCACCAUUUUUAAACCCUAUAGAGGAAUACUUUUCGGCUUGGAGAUAGCAUUUAUAUGAUCGCAAACCACAUGCCCACAUGCCUCUUCUGCAAGCAAUGAACAUGUCUGCGGCAACAUUCAGGUGACAGCAAUCCAUGGAUGGUUUCGACAUGCGAGGGUAUAUUUCCCCCGGUGCCUAGAAGACAUUGCUUGCGAUGUCGAUGAGGUCCUGUGGCCAGACCCCAACAGACGGCGGGAUACAUGAGCCCACGUAUGCACAAUUUCCAUGAUUUUUUGUGUUUACAGUAUAGUGUGUUUUUUUUUUAUCUGAAUUCAUGUUACUGCAAUGUACAGUGCUACAAUUUACAAUAUUGAGUAGGCCUAUUAUUUUUUUUUUAAUGUUUGAAAAUGUGCCUCCUGAAAA